UACGUAGGGAGCAAGCGUUGUCCGGAAUCAUUGGGCGUAAAGCGCGCGUAGGCGGCCCGAUAAGUCCGCUGUAAAAGUCAACGGCUCAACUGUUGAAAGCCGGUGGAUACUGUCGGGCUAGAGUACGGAAGAGGCAAGUGGAAUUCCUGGUGUAGCAGUGAAAUGCGUGGAUAUCGAGAAGAACACUUAGGGCGAAGGCAAGACUCUGGACAAAUGCUGACGCUCAUGCACGAAGGCUAGGGUAGCGAACGGG
rnacentral:rRNA from 1 species